UAGAAGAUCUGAGACAGGCAGACCACAAAAACAAUAAUUUAUUGGCAAAAAGAGCAAUCAAGGUCCUGGGCCUGGACACAGGAAAGUUCACCUUCCUAUAGUCAUGGAAGCCCACGAGGAGGCUAGAAAGUAGACAUGAGGAUGAUGAGUCAUCUUCAACUGCACCAAUGAGGACAAAUUAGAUCUUCACUGAAGAUAAAAGUGUCUGACAUCUACAUUUGAACCGAUCUUCUCUUAUCUGACGGGGAACGUGAACAGUGAUUAUCCACUUAGCCCAGAUCCAUUCUCUGAUUUUUAAAAAUGUGAUUUGCUAACACAUACCAGACUUCACAUAGGGAGAAGAUGAGGAAACCAAGACACAGAGAAGAUAAACAACUUGCCUGAAGUCACAAAUGGCACUACAGUUGUGAUGAGGCAAUUGCAACAUUUGAAAAGACCCCAGGGAGUUUGCAUUAAAUGCGUUUCACAAGAGUGAAUGAUGGAACAGAACACCAUGUACAAAGACACAGUCAUCCAACACCCAAGCACAAAUGGCACAAGUUAAACAUGUGACGGCUUGAUGUAUGACAGGU
rnacentral:lncRNA from 1 species